GUCUACAGCCAUGCCACUCUUUAUAAGCCUGAUACUGUCUGAUCUCGGAAGCUAAGCAGGGUCGGGCCUGGUUAGUACUUAGAUGGGAGACCACCUAGGAAGACCAGGUGCUAUAGGCG
rnacentral:rRNA from 1 species